rnacentral:rRNA from 1 species
UACGUAGGGGGCAAGCGUUGUCCGGAAUCAUUGGGCGUAAAGAGCGUGUAGGCGGCCCGGUAAGUCCGCUGUGAAAGUCCAGGGCUCAACCCUGGGAUGCCGGUGGAUACUGUCGGGCUCGAGUCCGGAAGAGGAGUGUGGAAUUCCUGGUGUAGCGGUGAAAUGCGCAGAUAUCAGGAGGAACACCGGUGGCGAAGGCGG